rnacentral:lncRNA from 1 species
GCAUUUCUGGUGGCCCGUACAGGAACUGGAGACGACAGAUUUACUGUCUCCUUUGCCUGGGGGACUUAGGGCCCUGGGGCUCGGGGAGACCCGGCAUCCAAGGCGCGCCAUGGGGGAGCUUCACCUGGAUGGAGACUGGCUCUCCCCGCGUCCCAGUGCCCUGCCCGGCAGCGCAACAGAACCGGAGACUGGGCUGCAGGACGAUACCAGCACUUCAGGAACCACGGUUAAAGAAAGAGGGACCAAUUAACUUCACCUUUUCCUAAACUUGAAAAGACAAACCAAAUUCUGCCCUUCAUCUCCAAUGUUUGAAAGAUCAGAGGUUCCUGUCAAGAACAUGGGUCCGUGUGUGGUUCACUCUGAAGCAUCUGUCUUCCUGUGAAAGAGCUUGCGGCUGGUGAGUGGAUACUGAGCCCAACUUCUGCAGGCUGCCCUCCCCUCUGGAUACCAAGCCCACCCAUGGCAAUCCCUUCAAGGCGUGACUCUCAUGAUAAUUAAAUGUGUGAUAAUGUGAAAAGGAAUUUUCAGAGAAACCAAGUCAAGGACUGGUG